GACGAACGCUGGCGGCGUGCUUAACACAUGCAAGUCGAACGGAAAGGCCCUGCUUGCAGGGUGCUCGAGUGGCGAACGGGUGAGUAACACGUGGGUGAUCCGCCCCCUACUUUGGGAUAAGCCUGGGAAACUGGGUCUAAUACUGGAUAGGACCAUGCUGUAGGCGGUGUGGUGGAAAGAUUAGUUUCGGUAAGGGAUGAGCUCGCGGCCUAUCAGCUGGUUGGUGGGGUAAUGGCCUACCACGGCGUCGACGGGGGGCCGGCCGGAGAGGGGGGACGGCCACAUUGGGGGUGAGGUGCGGCCGCGACGCCUACGGGGGGCGGCAGUGGGGGGGAUUGCACAAUGGGGGGAAGCAGGAUGCAGCGACGCCGCGGGGGGGGUGACGGCGUUCGGGUUGUAGUCUACUUGCAGCCAUGACGAAGCCGUUGUGGUGACGGUAGUGGGAGAAGAAGCACCGGCUAACUACGUG
rnacentral:rRNA from 1 species